AUUCAGCUCUGAAGGGCCACCCCAGAACCUCUAGGAAUGUUCUGUACAUGGCCUCUAAUACCAUUCUAAGUGCUUGCUGAAAGUUUGGAAUUCCAAACCGCAUCUGGUCAAUUGGACAUGUUUUGUGACAAAGAUGAAGACUGCCUUCCAUAUUCAUCACAGCAUCUGCACACUUGACUGGGAAAAUCAUGAGGCCCCUGCCAAGUCGGUUGCACUAGAUCUACCAUGACACUAUGAGGAGAAACUUGGGUUCAAACCAGUGAUUGACAAGAAAAGCAAGAAGUGAGGAGAACAAGAUGAUGAGUAACUAUGAAAGCAAACUCUGAGGAGCUCUUCCUGUGGUAAUAUAUUUUAUCUGUAGGAAGAUAAAAGAUUAUGUAUUAUCUGCUGCCUCCCAGAAAGUUGGAUGAACAAACCUACAGUCCAGGUAACUGGAAGUGUGGAGAGUAAAAUAAGAAACAAAGACCAUCACCACCACCACCAUCAUUACCAUCACCACCACAGCAAAGUGUCUUUAAGACUCAGGCUCUGAACUGGGGACCUUAGAAUACUGUGUUGCUGAACUUGGAAUAACAAAGCUCUACAUUCUUACACACCGGCAGAAGAAAAGUUAUCUCCGUUCCUUCACUUUCCAUAUACUCUAUUACCAAUGAAAAUCAGCUUCUGCCUCCACCAAUUUAUAGAAAUUGUUUUUUCAAAAAGCCAUCAAUGGCCAAAUAGGCAUUUUCGUUAUGCAUACUAUUGGACUUUUCUGUUGAAUAUGAUUCUGGUAAUCUCUGUUGUCUU